GGGCUGUAGCUUAGGGGUAGAAUGCUUGCCUAGCAUGUAUGAGGCCUUGGGUUUGAUCCCCAACCCUGUCCC
rnacentral:tRNA from 1 species